UACGAAGGGGGCUAGCGUUGCUCGGAAUCACUGGGCGUAAAGCGCACGUAGGCGGAUCUUUAAGUCAGGGGUGAAAUCCCAAGGCUCAACCUUGGAACUGCCUUUGAUACUGGGGAUCUCGAGUCCGGAAGAGGUUGGUGGAACUCCGAGUGUAGAGGUGAAAUUCGUAGAUAUUCGGAAGAACACCAGUGGCGAAGGCGGCCAACUGGUCCGGCACUGACGCUGAGGUGCGAAAGCUAGGGUAGCAAACGGG
rnacentral:rRNA from 1 species